ensembl:lncRNA
GUAAGGAGAUACGGCGCGCUUCAGGUCAGCUGUGCACAUCUCUGGAUUUCUGUUACUGUUUUCUUUCUUUCUUUCCUUCCUUCUCUUUCUUCACUAACAGAUUGCAGACUUCCUCUCGUCUUCUCGUCCCUUCUUCCCCUUUUCUCUCUCUCUUUUUUGUUUUCGAUUGUGUAAUUUCUCGCAGAUGAAACUACACGGUCGAGCUUCUUCAUGGGUGAGGACGUGUGCGAAUUUAAAAAAUACAAAAAUAAAUAAAUAAGGAGGAAACAUGCAGACCUUCAGAGUUUCACCGCAAACGCCCUUCGAGUGGGUAAGUGUGUGUGUGUGUGUGUGUGUGUGCAGUUACAGUGUUUUCAGUGUAAAGCAGCUGCCUCGACACGUUUUACACCUACACGAGUAUUCAAAGCUGAAUUGCGCCUGCAGCUACAUGAGCAAAGCGGGACGCGUCUCAUCUUGCCUCGCCACACACACACGCACACGCACGCACACACACACACACGCGCACACACACACACACACACACGCACGCACACGCGCGCACGCACACAAACACAGACAUGCACACACACACACACACACACACACACACUCGGUGGACAUGCACUUAAUCCCCUCUCCAAUACAUUCCAUAAUAUAUAAAUGUCUGUAUAAGCGUUCAGGAAUUUAAUAUUUAUAUAUUUGUAAUAAACGGCAUUCCUCUUUUUUAUUUGAUCUAUUUUCUUUUUUCAGAAGGACGUCUCCCAGACGCGCCGUGCGUCCACUCAUCCAUGCUUCCUAUCCUUCAUUCCACCGGAGUCUGUGUGUCUGAGCAAUCAGAUUUCAGUGGUGUGAAGAAUACGAGACAUGGGCCUGCCCUCCUCCUCCUCCUCCUCCUCCUCUUCCUCUUCCUCAUCAUCAUCAUCAUCAUCAUCACCACCACCACUCACAUGUUUAAUUAAAACUUGUUAAAAAUGUAAAUGUGCUUCAUUGAUUACACUCAUUUUGUAAUAUAGUCAUUUAAUUAGUUCAUUUUAGCUGAUUAAAGAGUAAAUGAGUAAAUUUUUGAGUAAAGCUUUAGUGAACCUUUAACAGGGGGGCGUGUCUACGCAGGACAAAAAAAUAAAGAUGAAAAAUAAGACACUGUCAGUUUCGAUCUGUGAUCCGAGAGAGGAAACACUCUCCGAGAAGUGUGCACUAAUCAGGGCCUGUCACUAAUUUCACCGUUCAUUAAUUACACUCAAAC